rnacentral:rRNA from 1 species
CCUACGGGCGGCAGCAGUGAGGAAUAUUGGUCAAUGGGCGAGAGCCUGAACCAGCCAAGUAGCGUGAAGGAUGACUGCCCUACGGGUUGUCAACUUCUUUUAUAAAGGAAUAAAGUGAGGCACGUGUGCCUUUUGGUGUGUACCUUAUGAAUAAGGAUCAGCUAACUCCGUGCCAGCAGCCGCGGUAAUACGGAGGAUCCGAGCGUUAUCCGGAUUUAUUGGGUUUAAAGGGAGCGUAGACGGGUUGUUAAGUCAGUUGUGAAAGUUUGCGGCUCAACCUGAAUAGUGCAAUUGAUACUGGCUGCCUUGAGUACAGUUGAGGUAGGCGGAAUUCGUGGUGUAGCGGUGAAAUGCUUAGAUAUCACGAAGAACUCCGAUUGCGAAGGCAGCUUACUAAACUGCAACUGACAUUGAUGCUCGAAAGUGUGGGUAUCAAACAGGAUUAGAUACCCCAGUAGUC